AAGAGAAACAGAACCAUGCUGGACUUUUGGCGUACAAUCUUUGCGCUGUUGGUAUUAACGUGUACUGUGCAUGGAGGAGUCGUGAAGCGGUCGGCGAUUGCAGGGACAGUCUCGCCACUGCCACCAAUGACUGGAUUCCCCCCGUUUUAUCCUCCUUUUACCGAGUGCCCUCCUGGGAGCUUCGGUAGUGA